AACUGACUUAACUCAGCAAGUUCAACCGGGGUUAGCUGUAAAGGUUAACUCUUCUCUCUGCCUUUCAGCUACCCAAACGAACAAAAAACUCUCUCUUUCUUCAGAUCUUUCUCUACCCAAAAUUCAAAAACUCUCUCACACCAUUGCUCAAUCUCCAUGGCUACAGCUAGCAGCCACUGCGUCCCACACCUCAACUAUGAAAUAAUGGUGGAACGUUCUCGAAACCCUUGGAUAUGAAGAAGGAUCUCAGAUUUUCAGAGAAAGAAGAGGAUCGGUGUAAGGAAGUGGAAGAAGAAGAAGAAGAUGGAUCGCUCGACCGCCUUCUGCUCGUCCAGUCCGAUCUCUCCUCUCUCGUCCAUCAGGUUGAAUGGCAUGAUUAAAUGGAUGCUAUACCCAAUAUGGGAAGCUGCUUCCGUUGGUGAAUGGUUAUACAAUGGCGGUCCUUAUGAGCAAAUUUUUCUACCACCAAGAGCGAGAAAAUGCAGUUGCUGGAGGUGGAGGGGGAUUAGUGCUAAAUUUUAGAUUGUUUUUUUGUUAGUGUAGACCACAUGUUCUCACUCUUGUAUAAGUUCUUUAUACAAGUUCUACCAUUCUGGUGAAAUCUUGUAGAAAAAUAUAUGUUUUGGAUAUAUGUAGAAACUUUGUUAAGGUAGUGUGUGUGCUGUGCUUAGUAAUGUGUGGGUGGUGCCUAGUAGUGUGAUGAGGUGUGCGUGUUGUGGUGAUAAAGGGUGCGUGUACUUGGCUAUAUUGAGGCAUGUGCAGUGCAGGUGCAUGAUGUGAAGCUUAGUAAGUGAUCAGAUAGUGAGAGUUAGUUAGGUAGUUUUACAUUUGGUAUUACUGAGAUUAUAAUUGUAUAUAACCCCCAAUUUUGGGAUGAUAAUAAACAAGUUUGGAAUCAAUUCAGUUACUCUCCUUUCUUUA